rnacentral:rRNA from 1 species
UCGGGAAUUUUGGGCAAUGGGGGCAACCCUGACCCAGCAACGCCGCGUGAGGGAUGAAGGCCCUCGGGUCGUAAACCUCUGUCGGGAGGGAAGAAAGGCCACCGUUCAAAUAGGGCGGUGACUUGACGGUACCUCCAAAGGAAGCGCCGGCUAACUCCGUGCCAGCAGCCGCGGUAAUACGGAGGGCGCAAGCGUUGUUCGGAAUCAUUGGGCGUAAAGCGCGCGUAGGCGGCUUGGCAAGUCGGGUGUGAAAUCCCGGGGCUCAACCCCGGAACUGCACUCGAAACUGCCUCGCUAGAGUCCCGGAGAGGAAGGCGGAAUUCCCGGUGUAGAGGUGAAAUUCGUAGAUAUCGGGAGGAACACCAGUGGCGAAGGCGGCCUUCUGGACGGUGACUGACGCUGAGGUGCGAAAGCGUGGGGAGCAAACAGGAUUAGAUACCCCGGUAGUCC